rnacentral:rRNA from 1 species
GACAGAGGGUGCAAACGUUGCUCGGAAUUACUGGGCGUAAAGCGCGUGUAGGCGGCUCUGUAAGUCGGGUGUGAAAGCCCUCGGCUUAACCGAGGAAGCGCAUUCGAUACUGCAGAGCUCGAGUACCGGAGAGGGUCGUGGAAUUCCUGGUGUAGAGGUGAAAUUCGUAGAUAUCAGGAGGAACACCGGCGGCGAAGGCGGCGACCUGGACGAGUACUGACGCUCAGACGCGAAAGCGUGGGGAGCAAACAGGAUUAGAAA